UGGCAUUGGAGAGCCUUGACUGCUCCACUCUGGAGAUCCGCCCACACCAAGGAUUCAGCAGUUUAAGAGGAGGGUGGCAUACUCAACUCUGGGCCUCGGAAAGCAAACCAGAGUGGAGCUUUGCUCUUGAACCCACUUGCAGGGUUUCUUGGCAUUCUGCUUUGGGUUGCAGUGGAAUCUGGGUGCUGUGAAUGCAGAACCACGUAACAUCUGACUGCCUAAGAAAUUAGGUCCAUAUUUCUCAUCAUUUGCUCUCCAGUCUUCAUUAGAAUCGCUUGGGGAAGCUGUCAAACUUGAAGUUUCUCCAGUCCCAACGCAGAUCUUAUGAAUGAGACUGGAGGGAGGAGCAGACAUUUCAGGGACUGAGAUGGCAUUGCAGGGAGGAGUAGGCAUUUCAAAGGAUCUCAGGGUUAUUAUGAAACAGGCUGAACCUGGAGAGUCUGCUUCAGUCUGUCACACAGUACACCUCAACACGUAGCCGUCCGAUCAGCCCCGUCCAUCUGCCUCGCGUGGGAGCUGGUUAGAAAGGCAAAGUCAUGGGCUCCAUGCCAGAACCAGCGAAUCAGCAUCUGUGGUGGGGCCCAGGAAUUAGAUUUCACAAGCUCUCCGGGUGAUUUUUAUGCACACGAGUCAGAGAACCCCUGCUUUAAUGAAUGGCUGUCUCUGAAGAAACAGACUCAUGAUUUCAAACACCCAGGGCAGGUGUCUGUGUUAGCCUUGUGUGUCUAGGAGAUGCUCCUGAAAGUUUGUGUUUAAAUGAGAACCAGGGGUUCCAGAAGAGAAGGAGGGCAAGAUUCAGGCAACUUUGACUUCUUGAGAGUCAGAAUUUCUGAACCAUGAAAUGACUCAAAUGGAGCGUAGUUAUUUUUCCUGCAGACUUUCCCUAGCAGAGACCUGUUGGUAGACUUUCCAUCAAAAAUGUUAAUGUUUUCACUUUCACACUUUCCAUGGGGAUGAAAACUGUGAAGAGAGUACACGGGUAGCUGGAGAUGAGCCACCAGCAGAGGGACCGACUGCUUACGUUAUCGCAAUUUACAACGCGUGAUGUGUCUGUUUACGUUGAAACGUCUCAAAGACUAGCAGCUGCCGCCACCGCCACCAUUGUCAAACCACACAGCGCCCACUGUCUUGAAAUGGGUCCAGGGCGCUGAAUGGCUUUGCCAACAAUUUUGACAAGUCAUGGGAGGAAGGUGGGCCUGGAAUCCACCUCUCCUGUUCCCCAGGCCCGUGUGGAUUGUGGGGUGGGAUCUUCCUACUUCGAGUUGAUUCCCUUUGACAUUUGAAAUCCAAGGCUGUGAAAAGGAACAGCUCUUCUUUAACGGCCACCUCUGUCAAGUUGGCCUUCAUCCAGAUCUGGACAGGUUAAUUGUCGUGUGUGUGAGAUGCUUGACCUCAAGAUUAUCAUCGCCCUUGGUGGCGGCUUACUGACUGUCACAUUUGUGCUGAUGGCUGUUGUCAUCUGUCUUUACUACAAAGUAGCCAACGCACUGAAAUGUUCAAAGGCAUAUUUGGCUCUGACCAUCAAUAAUAAUGAGGCCACAGUCACGAUGACCACAGACUCCACCAAUGGGUCCUAUCCCAGUAUCCGGUGUUGUGAAGAAUGUAACUUGAAUGCCAACUCGAACCCCCUGCCACCGUGAUUCUGUGACGUAACCAAAAGACCUGGACUUGGCACAAAAAUCUUCAUUCGCGGUAUUUCUUUCUUGGUAGAAUUCAUUAUUCAAGUCAGGUUCAAAUCAUGUUUACAUCAUGUUAGGUACCACAUAUUUAUGUACUUUUGAAUAAAUAUGCAAGAGAAAAAUAAUCCUCUCUGCCUCUGGCAUUUUUGUUGUUGGCAUGUACUUAAAUUACUUAAAUUUGUGUCGUAGUCACCUGGGGACUUGGGGCGAGUAAACUUGUAAUAUUCUGUUGCAGUAUAAGAAGGAGAGUUAAGAGUAAUAGAGAAAAAGGCAUGUUGCCAGUUGAACAAGAAGGGAUGUUGUGCCAGAUGCUUGGGGUGGAAAGAUAAAAGCAUCUGGAAACUCGGUUUAGACUAAGCUUCCCAGCACCCUAGGCUCAAAGGGAAACACGGCAUCUCUGAAUGAGAGAAACUUUUUCCUGGUGCUUAAUUCUGCUUGGAUCGUAUUACACGGAGCCCUCUCCUUGAGACUCUGAAAAAAAUGGACAUCCUCCUUUGGGUUUAACCAAGCCUCAGAACCAGUUUUCAAACCCUGGCAGGUGCUAACAUCUGAGGGCAUGCCGUCAGUCCAGACGCUGAUUUCUUCCAGACCCCUGGGCACUAUGUUGGCUCCGAGGACGUAGGGUUUCUGUAGGGCGAUUCUCUCCCACAGGCGACAGCAGACGCUUCUCAUGGAAGGUACCAGGGCCACAGCAAGGUCCUCGGCAAUGCAGGACCCUGAAGGUAAAGAUGGGUGAGACGCCUGGGGGCAGAGCAGGAGCCACGGAUGAGGCACAGGGAUAGAACCUGGGCCAAGGCGGGCUCACAGGCUUACUCCCGGUAGUCUGGGCUCCAGGCCGCUUUCUGCCACCUUGCAGGCAUCAGGGGUUAGUCACAGGAUGGGCACACUCGGCAAAAGAAGUGAUGUGGGUGAAAGUCCUUGUGGGUAUGCCUUACAAAGAAUUUGCUACAGAGAAAACAAGCCCCUGUAGCCUGCACGAAAGUUCAACUCGCUAAUUCUGAACCCAAGCCACUCCCCGUUCCUCUGUUACAUCUCCAAACUUCAUCACUGCCAACACUCCCAGGUAUCAUUAAACAUGGAUUGCCGGGAAGAUACUUUUAGGACAUAAAAUGGAAA